rnacentral:rRNA from 1 species
UACAGGGGGGGCGAGCGUUGUUCGGAAUUACUGGGCGUAAAGGGCUCGUAGGCGGCCAACUCAGUCGGACGUGAAAUCCCUCGGCUUAACCGGGGAACUGCGUCCGAUACUGGAUGGCUUGAGUGUGGGAGAGGGAUGCGGAAUUCCAGGUGUAGCGGUGAAAUGCGUAGAUAUCAGGAGGAACACCGGUGGCGAAGGCGGGUCUCUGGGCCGGUACUGACGCUGAGGCGCGAAAGCGUGGGUAGCAAACGGG